UAAGCCCACUCGUGGGCAAUGGGAAACAUGGGAGUUAACCCAAGUUUCAAUCCAAUUUAGAUUAGUGAGACCUCAGUUUAACCUUUAUCUAAUCACAAUCUUUCCUCUAACUCUUAUUUCCAAGUAUAGGGUUGGCCCGUAAAUCUAAUAUCUAGAAGACUCAUAAUCUUUCCUCCACCACACGCUCAUACCUCUUGUAGAGCCAAUAGAAUCGAUAGAUAUCCCUUUCUUAUAUCCACGCUAUGGACGAAGCUUUGUAUUACGAUGGUGAUUUUUCUUCGUUUCUAUUAGAAACACCACCCUGGGAUUUUUGGAACGUAAAAGUUCCUUAAGAUACAAAACUGUCAAGGGGUUCCCAAACCCUUGACAGUUCCAAGACAGUUGUAUCAUAACUCCAUUAUAUUUGAUUUGGUCCAGCCACCACAACCCUGGAGGGGGGAAGAAUCCUCCAAACCCAUUUUGCUCCUAUAUCUCUCCAUCGCUUCAAGUUCUUUCGAAGUGCUAACCACCACCUCAUAGAUCCUUCUUUGUUGUUUUUCUCGUCCUCCCUCCAUCUUCGUGAUGAUAGGCACCGCUGCAAAUAAACAAAAUACUUAAUCUUAGCAACAUAUGCUAAAAAGCCCUCGAUCUAUUGAAUACUUAUUCAAGAUCAAAUAAUGAAUUUAAAUUGCAUAAAAUCAUUUAUGAAAGCAAAGGUCCACUCACUCCUGGUCCGAGCUUAACCUCUUGAAGGUCCUUCCUGCGGGUCGGUCUAGGCCCGUGUGCCUGAUUAAACCAUCGUGAAUACUUAAUUAAUAAACUGCUCGAUAUAAGUAUUUAAUUAAAACCCGGACCCCCCGGCUCCUAGAAGUGCAUGCACUAACUAUAAAA
rnacentral:lncRNA from 1 species